rnacentral:lncRNA from 1 species
UGCUGUCUGUGGGAUCCUGUAGUUCUCUUCAUUCUCCUGUUCCAAAGAGUCAUCAUUCUCAUUAGGAUGUAUGUGCAUGGACGAAGGAGACUGGUGGAGUGGCCCAUGAGAGCCUGAGCCAGCAUAAAGCCACCUUGGAUCAACCUUAGUCACUUCAAAUCUGGUCUCGUGGAGCCACCUGAAAGUGACAGCCAUAAAGAACAACGGGAAAAUCUGAAAAGGGAAAAAGAUGUGAUCAAGCCUGCAACUUCCCAGGCACUUUACCUGUCUCCUUGCAGGAGUCCGGGGUGCCUUGUACAGCCCUGGGAGGGAGCCAUUACAGAACUGCAGAAAAGAGAGAGUCAGCAAGGGAGUUGUUGGGUGGGUGCGACUCUGCCUGCAGGGGAGCUCUUCUGCCUCCAGAGCCCCAGCCCGCUGCUGAGAGGAGCUGCCUGGACAGAGCAUCUCUGAGGCCCGAGGUGCUGGGACUGCACACAGUGAGUUCUUUCCUAAGCUCUCGAGAGGACCAGAUUUUAGACUGUAACCUCUGAUUUAAAGCACGAAGGUGUUCCUGCUGCUUAGGUUGCUGGGUCUUGAUUUGUUUUUGGUAAACAGAGGGCACUGGCUUAUGUCCAUCCUCAAAGCUGCUUUGUCCUAGGGUGCCCGUUGCCAUAGUUAACGUGAG